UGUGAAGAAGGCCUUAUGGUUGUAAAGCACUUUAAGCGAGGAGGAGGCUACUUUAGUUAAUACCUAGAGAUAGUGGACGUUACUCGCAGAAUAAGCACCGGCUAACUCUGUGCCAGCAGCCGCGGUAAUACAGAGGGUGCAAGCGUUAAUCGGAUUUACUGGGCGUAAAGCGCGCGUAGGCGGCUAAUUAAGUCAAAUGUGAAAUCCCCGAGCUUAACUUGGGAAUUGCAUUCGAUACUGGUUAGCUAGAGUGUGGGAGAGGAGAGUGGAAUUUCGUGUGUAGGGGUGAAAUCCGGAGAUCUACGAAGGAACGCCAAAAGCGAAGGCAGCUCUCUGGGUCCCUACCGACGCUGGAGUGCGAAAGCAUGGGGAGCGAACGGGAUUAGAUACCCUGGUAGUCCAUGCCGUAAACGAUGUCUACUAGCCGUUGGGGCCUUUGAGGCUUUAGUGGCGCAGCUAACGCGAUAAGUAGACCGCCUGGGGAGUACGGUCGCAAGACUAAAACUCAAAUGAAUUGACGGGGGCCCGCACAAGCGGUGGAGCAUGUGGUUUAAUUCGAUGCAACGCGAAGAACCUUACCUGGCCUUGACAUAGUAAGAACUUUCCAGAGAUGGAUUGGUGCCUUCGGGAACUUUCAUACAGGUGCUGCAUGGCUGUCGUCAGCUCGUGUCGUGAGAUGUUUGGUCAAGUCCUAUAACGAGCGAAACCCUUUUCCUUAUUUGCCAGCGAGUAAUGUCGGGAACUUUAAGGAUACUGCCAGUGACAAACUGGAGGAAGGCGGGGACGACGUCAAGUCAUCAUGGCCCUUACGGCCAGGGCUACACACGUGCUACAAUGGUCGGUACAAAGGGUUGCUACCUAGCGAUAGGAUGCUAAUCUCAAAAAGCCGAUCGUAGUCCGGAUUGGAGUCUGCAACUCGACUCCAUGAAGUCGGAAUCGCUAGUAAUCGCGGAUCAGAAUGCCGCGGUGAAUACGUUCCCGGGCCUUGUACACACCGCCCGUCACACCAUGGGAGUUUGUUGCACCAGAAGUAGGUAGUCUAACCGUAAGGAGGACGCUUACCACGGUGUGGCCGAUGACUGGGGUGAAGUCGUAACAAGGUAGCCGUAGGGGAACCUGCGGCUG
rnacentral:rRNA from 1 species